GACGUAGGGCGCGAGCGUUGUCCGGAUUUAUUGGGCGUAAAGAGCUCGUAGGCGGUUUGUCGCGUCUGCUGUGAAAUCCCGAGGCUCAACCUCGGGCCUGCAGUGGGUACGGGCAGACUGGAGUGCGGUAGGGGAGACUGGAAUUCCUGGUGUAGCGGUGAAAUGCGCAGAUAUCGGGAGGAACACCGGUGGCGAAGGCGGUUCUCUGGGCCGAUACUGACGCUGAGGAGCGAAAGCGUGGGGAGCGAACAGG
rnacentral:rRNA from 1 species